rnacentral:rRNA from 1 species
AACGAACGCUGGCGGCAUGCCUAACACAUGCAAGUCGAACGAGACCUUCGGGUCUAGUGGCGUACGAGUUCGUAACGCGUGGGGACCUGCCCUUAGGUUCGGAAUAACUCCCCGAAAGGGGUGCUAAUACCAGAUCAUGUCUUCGGCCCAAAGAUUUAUUGACUUUGUAUGUGCCAGCGUUGGAUUAGCUAGUUGGUAGGGUAAAAGCCUACCAAGGCGACGAUCCAUAGCUGGUAUGAGAGGCUGAUUAGCCACACUGGGACUGAGACACGGCCCAGAAUCCUACGGGAGGCAGCAGUGGGGAAUAGUGGACAAUGGGCGAAAGCCUGAUCCAGCAAUGCCGCGUGAGUGAUGAAGGUCGUAGGGUUGUAAAGCUCUUUUACCCGGGAUGAUAAUGACAGUACCGGGAGAAUAAGCUCCGGCUAACUCCGUG